UGAGUUUUAAAGGGCCGCGGUAUUUCUGACCGUGCGAAGGUAGCAUAAUCAUUAGUCUUUUAAUUGAAGGCUUGUAUGAAUGGUUGGACGAAAGAUAAACUGUUUUCAAAUUAAUAUGUUGAAUUUAACUUCUAAGUGAAAAGGCUUAGAUAAUUCAAAAAGACGAUAAGACCCUAUAAAUCUUAACAUAAUACACUCAACCAUUUUAAAUUAUAUUUAUAUAAAAAAAGGGAAAGUUAAUAUGUUUCGUUGGGGCAACGAAGAUAUAGAAUAUUUAAUUGUUUUAAAUAUAAACAAAAAUUUUUGAUUUUAUAAGAUCCUUUUUAAAGAUUAAAAGAUUAAGUUACUUUAGGGAUAACAGCGUUAUUCUUUUUGAGAGUUCUCAUCGAAAAAAGAGUUUGCGACCUCGAUGUUGAAUUAGAAAAUCU
rnacentral:rRNA from 1 species